GAGGAUGCUUCCAGAAACCUGACUGGGCCUAAGGGAGGAAGUGAGAGGCAAUGCGGGAAAGAUGGUGCUACAGGAAAAGCCGGCAAACAGCAGCGUCACAGCCCCCAGCGUGGCUUUGAGUCCUGGCUGGGAGAGGGAGCGAGCAAGCAAGAGUGUUUCAGAGAGAAGGUCCUGGAGCCAGCUGACCAGAGCUUAAAUUCCAGCUCCUCUAUUUGCCGGCUUUGUGACCUUGGGCAGUUCCUAACCGCCUCUGUGCGUCAAGUUCCCUGUCUAUAAAAUCGUUGUGAUAAUUA